CAAUAGCGUAUAUUAAAGUUGUUGCAGUUAGAACGCUCGUAGUCGGAUUUCGGGGCGUUCCGACCGGUCUGCCGAUGGGUAUGCACUGGCCGGAGUGUCCUUUUUGCCGGAGACCGUGCCUACUCUUAACUGAGCGGGGGCGGGAGACGGCACUUUUACUUUGAAAAAAUCAGAGUGUUUCAAGCAGGCAGCUCGCUCUUGCAUGGAUUAGCAUGGGAUAAUGAAAUAGGACUUUGGUGCUACUUUGUUGGCUUCGAACACCGAAGUAAUGAUGAGAAGGGACAGUCAGGGGCACUCGUAUUCCGCAGAGAGAGGUGAAAUUCUCAGACCCGCGGAAGACGAACCACUGCGAAAGUAUUUGCCAGGGAUGUUUUCACUG
rnacentral:rRNA from 1 species